CUACGGGGUGCUCCAGUGGGGAAUAUUGGACAAUGGGGGAAACCCUGAUCCAGCAAUGCCGCGUGUGUGAAGAAGGCCUGCGGGUUGUAAAGCACUUUCGGUUGGGAGGACUGCUUCUAGCACUAAUAUUGUUGGAAGUUGACGUUACCUUCAGAAGAAGCACCGGCUAACUCCGUGCCAGCAGCCGCGGUAAUACGGAGGAUGCAAGCGUUAAUCGGAAUUACUGGGCGUAAAGCGCGCGUAGGCGGCUAGAUCAGUCGGGUGUGAAAGCCCCGUGCUUAACCUGGGAACUGCAUCCGAUACUGUCUAGCUUGAGUACAGGAGAGGAGAGUGGAAUUCCACAUGUAGCGGUGAAAUGCGUAGAUAUGUGGAGGAACACCAAUGGCGAAGGCAGCUCUCUGGCCUGAUACUGACGCUGAGGUGCGAAAGCGUGGGGAGCAAACAGGAUUAGAUACCCGAGUAGUC
rnacentral:rRNA from 1 species